AUUGAACGCUGGCGGCAUGCCUUGCACAUGCAAGUCGAACGGCAGCACGGGCUUCGGUCUGGUGGCGAGUGGCGAACGGGUGAGUAAUGUAUCGGAACGUACCUUUCAGUGGGGGAUAACGUAGCGAAAGUUACGCUAAUACCGCAUAUUCUGUGCGCAGGAAAGCAGGGGAUCGCAAGACCUUGCGCUGAUUGAGCGGCCGAUAUCAGAUUAGCUAGUUGGUGAGGUAAAGGCUCACCAAGGCGACGAUCUGUAGCGGGUCUGAGAGGAUGAGCCGCCACACUGGAACUGAGAAACGGUCCAGACUCCGACGGGAGGCAGCAGUGGGGAAUUUUGGACAAUGGGCGCAAGCCUGAUCCAGCCAUGCCGCGUGAGUGAAGAAGGCCUUCGGGUUGUAAAGCUCUUUCGGCCGGGAAGAAAUCGCAUGGGUUAAUACCCUGUGCGGAUGACGGUACCGGCAUAAGAAGCACCGGCUAACUACGUGCCAGCCGCCGCCGUAAGAC
rnacentral:rRNA from 1 species